CAUGAUCGCCGCCAUAGUGUAACUGUUAGCUUGUUAGGCUGCUAAGGGCAAUGGCAAUUCACGCUGCGACGCUAUUCGGCGGACAAGAAACGAACGAUCGAUCCGAAAAGCCUACAGUCCCGUCCAGUGUUCAAAACGUCAUAUUAUCAAUUGUUUGUUCAACACCAACCAAGCCUGUCCCACCAAAAUCCAUCGUCUCUGGCCACUAAACCACCCAUACAAGAUGUUGUCACCGUUAUGCAUCCCCUAACUCGAACUCACCCUCCGGACCAUCCAAGAGUCAAACGAACAACUAAUAUCAGCAACUUAUCAUGAUUAUCUACGUCGUGCAAGUGAAGCAUUUUUCCUUUUAAUUCGCACCAAUUAAAUAUUUCAAAUCAACUGCAAACUAUUCCCGAAAUCUUAAAGGCACCGAUUGUUUAAAAAGAUGGGUGUAUGCGCGAGAAGAACACCACAAUCGUCUUUCAGUAUCUUGGAUUUAUUUCUAUGGCAAGGAUGGAGUUUCAUGGUUUUCGUAGGUCUCCUGAUAGCAAUCGGAAUAUUUUAUCAGCAGUAUGUAAACAAAUCCUGAAUUCGGUAAACAGAGCGUCGGUCUAUUUGACAUUACAUCCGUCACGGAAACGAAUUCACGGGGCGGAAGUAGAAGAAGGAGCGGAUGGCGAAUAUGGGACUGAAGCCGAUGCAGUUUACGAUGAGACCCCGUGGUUACAGAUCACUUAUGCAUUUCCCAUACAUAUUUUAACGAAAGGAUAAUGCGACGAAGAUUCGCGGAACAAUGGGGCUCGUAAACUCCGUUGCAAACAUCAUUCAGUAACAAAAUGCUCGGAGGAAGUCUGCGUCAUUUUCCGUCGCGGAUAAUGGAAUAAUAUUUCGUAGCUGAAUAUCCAUGACUCACUGAUGUGUACCGAAUGCGUCGCGACUUCGACCAGCCAGCCGGAAUUGAUUAAUCUGAUGCAACGUCCGCGACGCAAACAUAACGGUUACCUCACAAUCUCCCUAAAAUAUUUCGGAAACAAUAGGGAUUCCACGACGACUUUUCCGCGGGAAUAAUCAAGCCGAAGCUCCAACCUUAACUAACACCAAAAGUAAACCCUCUUGUACCUUCGAAUUACGGAGAUUUCACGGAAACACUUAUGACUCAAUACUUACCAUAAAAAUAGAAUAAACACGACACAGAUUU